rnacentral:rRNA from 1 species
AUACGUAGGGGGCGAGCGUUGUACGGAAUGAUUGGGCGUAAAGGGCGCGUAGGCGGCCCGGUAAGUCUGGAGUGAAAGUCCUGUUUUUAAGAUGGGAAUUGCUUUGGAUACUGUCGGGCUUGAGUGAAGGAGAGGUAAGUGGAAUUCCCAGUGUAGCGGUGAAAUGCGUAUAGAUUGGGAGGAACAACAGUGGCGAAGGCGACUUAGUGGACUGUAACUGACGUCGAGGCGCGAAAGUGUUGGGAGCAAACAGGAUUAGAUACCCUGGUCGUCACCACUGUAAACGAUGAAGGCUAGGUGUAGGGGGUAUCGACCCCUUCUGUGCCGCAGUCAACACAAUAAGCAUUCCGCCUGGGGAGUACGGCCGCAAGGUUUAAACUCAAAGGAAUUGACGGGG